AAUUAACAAAUGAGCCACUGAUAGAUGAGUAAUGUGUAUUA
rnacentral:guide_RNA from 1 species